GCUCAGCCAACAGAAUGGGAUCUCUAUUUCCACUUUUGUGCCUUCUAUUGCACCUUUCAGAGUUGAAAAUGUACUGUGCUUUAACUCAGUCUCCAUCUACUCUGACUGCUAAUACUGGAGACCAGAUCACCAUCACCUGCAAGACUAAUCCCAAUGAGCAAACACAGUUCUCUUGGUAUCAACAGCAACGAGGCCAAUCCCCUAAAGCCUUAGUGUAUGGCACAACUACUCUGGUUUCAGGAAUCCCAACACGGUUCCGAGGUAGUCGGUCUAGAGCAGAUUUUUUCCUCACUAUUGACAAUACACAGACAGAUGAUUCUGCCAGUUAUUACUGUGCUGAAUGGCCAGGGUACCACAAUGUUACUUCCCUAAACAAAAACCUUUAG